GACGGAGGAUGCAAGUGUUAUCCGGAAUCACUGGGCGUAAAGCGUCUGUAGGUGGUCAAAUAAGUCAACUGUUAAAUCUUGAGGCUCAACCUCAAAAUCGCAGUCGAAACUAUUAGACUAGAGUAUAGUAGGGGUAAAGGGAAUUUCCAGUGGAGCGGUGAAAUGCGUAGAGAUCGGAAAGACCACCAAUGGCGAAGGCACUCUACUGGGCCAUUACUGACACUGAGAGACGAAAGCUAGGGGGAGCAAAUGGG
rnacentral:rRNA from 1 species